rnacentral:rRNA from 1 species
UACGGAGGGUGCAAGCGUUGCUCGGAAUUAUUGGGCGUAAAGGGUAGGUAGGUGGUCUCAUUUGUCUGGGGUGAAAGCCUUGAGCUUAACUCAAGAAGUGCCCCAGAAACGGUGAGACUAGAGUCCUGGAGAGGGUCGUGGAAUUCCCGGUGGUAGCGGUGAAAUGCGUAGAGAUCGGGAGGAACACCAGAGGCGAAGGCGGCGACCUGGACAGGUACUGACACUCGAACACGAA